UGUUUGGGUAAUGCAUGGAUGAGUGCCAGCCUUGUGUUGGAGUCUGCACUAGAUGCCAGGAGGGCAAUGAGGUGACUCUCUGUCUGCGGCUUACUUAGGCUCACCAGAAGGUGGACGUUCUACAGUCCACACACUAAUAUUUCCCUUCUCACACUCAGAGGAACUGUGGGCAUAGCCACAGUAGAAAUGUCACCAAGAGUGAAAACAGAUGUGUUGCUCAAGGAGGGAGAUGACCUUUGAAAUACAAUCUGGAUCAUGAGAAGGAAGAAGUCAUGUGGGGGGGAGAGAAUGCCCAACCAAGUCACCCAUGUCUGCAAUGUGCCCCUCAAGACAGAGAUAUUGAAUCUAAUGGAAGCUGAUAAUCGUGUGAGGAAGAUGGAGGACAACUAAGUAGGCACAAUGAGGAGGACACACAGGUUGUGAUGACUUCAACGCGGAAGCCAGAGGAAGAUUUCGAGAAGAAGCCUGCCAGGUAACAUGCAACAGCUGCAUGCACUUCAUGCAUGUGCAAAGGCCCCGAGAUCGGCUUGCUUCUGUGCAGCUUUUCUCAGGUGUGAGAAGGCUCAGGCUCCUGUCACCAUCCCCUAUCCCAUGAACACACCACACACCAUCAUGUCCAGAGCUAUGUUCUACCCCCUCCUCAAAACACACACCUCGUCCAGGAAGCUGAGGUCAUUGCUGGCAGACACUUCCCCUCCUCCCUCUCUUUUCUCUUUCCACAGUUCUUUCUGUCGCCCUGAACAAACGUUUUCUUUUUUUUUUUUUUCUUUUCUUUUUUUAGGAGCUGGGGACCGAACCCAGGGCCUUGCGCUUGCUAGGCAAGCACUCUACCACUGAGCUGAAUCCCCAACCCCCUGAACAAACGUUUUCAAUGCUGCUACGCUGCUAGUGGUGUCUCCUCCUCCUCUACCUCCCCAGGUGUGUACUGUAAAGAGCUGUUGCUAAGGAGGAAACCCAAAUUGCCAAGAGCAGGAAACCUGCGUGAGCUAGGAGGUCAGAUCAGGAAAUGGGCGUAGCACACUUCACUGCCAAACCAAAGAUACGGUUCAACAACCUGCUGCCAGUUUCCGGCUGUGGGGCCUGGUGGUCUCUGGUCAGGUACUCCCAUCAUCCUUAGCGUGCAUAUGCACUCCUGCUAAAUUUGGAAUCCAAGGCACGACAUGCACAUGAAAUAUAAGAGUUAAAUGGAGAAUUCGCUUCUCAAAUCCAGCCCGGAUCUUAAUCACAUUGUUAUUAAAAAUGCAUAGUGCUAUGAAAUUGUUAUUUAAUGUAGAAUUAGUAAAAGGUUCACAUAUAUUUAUAUUAUAGAAGGUGGUUGUCCAUAACUGAAUCAAGAUGUGGAUCCUUUGAGAUAGGUCUUUUCAGCAAGAGGUGAGGGUACAGGUUGACACACCGGUCACUCAUCAAUCAGCAAGAUCAAAUGAAGGUGGCAGAGCAGUCUUCUGAACACAUAUCCUUAAGUCAUCUCCUGAGGUUUCAGUUGCCUUCUCAGCACACGACAGCAGGCAUGGAGAUGGGCAGCCUGGUGGGUGAGCAGGAGUAUGGUGGUUUGCCUUCAAGUCCCAUCAGACUGGCCGCUCGCUGUGUUGUACUUCAGGGAGGCACCAGCAUUAACGCAUCCAGUUUGUCUCUGAUGUGUUGAUUUUCUGUCAGAAAUAAUAGCCUGACAGAAUUAAUAGCCAUGGACCAUGUUAACAAGAUCUAAAGUCUAGCAGCCAAUCACAGGCUAUGUUAAAAUGUGUGUGUGUGUGUGUGUGUGUGUGUGUGUGUGUGAGAGAGAGAGAGAGAGAGAGAGAGAGAGAGAGAGGUGGGGGGAGGGAGGCAUACUGUCAUCUUGUCAUCUCUUGCUUGGAUUCAGGGCUUUGGCAAAAAUGGUCUUUCUUCCCUAUUCUUUUACACAGCAGCAAUUUAGGGCUAGAAAUAGACAACUCAAUUAUGCUUCUCUCUCAAUAAUGACUAUGGAGGAUGUCCCUUUUCUGUGUGAUUAGAACGGUUGGAUUUACUGACAUCAAGGAAUUGAGGGAGAGGAGAGCACUGGAGAAUCCCUUAAGGUGGCAAAGUUAAUUUAAGGACACACAGUCUGUCAUCUCAUUGCUUCUCACAUUUACAGCAAGGAAGUGGGCUUUCGUAAUACAGAGCUGUGAGGCAGGUAAAACCCUCCAGAGAAUGUUCGAGUCCACUCUGGUUCUAGUUCCACUUCUGGUAAAUAGGGAAGUGUUUGGGGAGGAGAAAACCAAACACAGAAACAGACUAUAGCGAGGACGGCUUCAGCCAUAGCGUUUUCCGUCCUUUUCCUCCCUCACUUCAUCCGUUACCCUUUCUGUGUCUUUACUUUUGGAUGUGGAUGCGGAGGAAGAGGAGGGAAGGGAAUUAUACAGUGUUGGGCUGCCAAUGGAAGGCCGCGGCUGGAGUAGCCAUCGGUGCUGUCAUUAGUUAUGCAAGCUCUCAAGUUCAGCAACCACAUUCUCCUCAUCUAAGGUGGCCAUGUCUGCCUCUGAGCCCCAAUCUGGGUUUCUUCACUUGUCUCUGAGAAGAUGACUGAAACUCUAGAAAUCUUUUGGGAGAAAACACUAUCAUUAACCAUUUUGGGAUCUAACCUUUAACCCCUGUUAUAUGAGGCUUUUGCUGUUGCUGUUCUUACUGAUGUUGUGUGGCGGUGCUGGGACUAAAAGGGCUGGGCCCAUGCUGGGGAGGCCCUUUCCCGUUUAGUUGCACCCCAGUCCCAGGUACCAGAACUUGGGUAGGCCACCUCUGUGUGUAGUUUCAGAACGUGGGCUAUGAUGUUGGCGGUGCUUUAAGAGCAGCCAGCUAGUUCUCAAAAGGGGAGUAACCUGGGGCGUGAAGAAGGUGGGAACACACAUAGUUUAAGAAGGGUGACAACUUCCCUGUUUGCUUGUUUCUAAAACUUAGGCAAGUUUUAGCAAUUUUGGGAGGGGACUGUUUGAAAGCUUCGGAACAAGCUGGUGCAAUAAAUUAUGAAAUUGGAUGCAGCCAGAGACCUAUGAAA